CAGUCGCCGCGGUAAUACGUAGGGUGCAAGCGUUAAUCGGAAUUACUGGGCGUAAAGCGUGCGCAGGCGGUUCGUUAAGACAGAUGUGAAAUCCCCGGGCUUAACCUGGGAACUGCAUUUGUGACUGGCGGGCUAGAGUAUGGCAGAGGGGGGUAGAAUUCCACGUGUAGCAGUGAAAUGCGUAGAGAUGUGGAGGAAUACCGAUGGCGAAGGCAGCCCCCUGGGCCAAUACUGACGCUCAUGCACGAAAGCGUGGGAGCAAACAGGAUUAGAUACCCGCGUAGUCCCUGUCUCUUAUACA
rnacentral:rRNA from 1 species